CCUACGGGUGGCAGCAGUGAGGAAUAUUGGUCAAUGGGCGGAAGCCUGAACCAGCCAAGUUGCGUGAGGGAUUAAGGCCCUGCGGGUCGUAAACCUCUUUUGCCGGGGAGCAGAGGUCCGGACGUGUCCGGGCCGGGAGAGUACCCGGAGAAAAAGCAUCGGCUAACUCCGUGCCAGCAGCCGCGGUAAUACGGAGGAUGCGAGCGGUAUCCGUAUUUAUUGGGUUUACAGGGUGCGUAGGCGGGCAUUUAAGCCGGCGGUCAAAUGUCGGGGCUCAACCCCGGCCUGCCGUCGGAACUGGGUGCCUUGAGUGGGCGAGAAGUAUGCGGAAUGCGUGGUGUAGCGGUGAAAUGCAUAGUUAUCACGCAGAACCCCGAUUGCGAAGGCAGCAUACCGGCGCCCUACUGACGCUGAGGCACGAAAGUGCGGGUAUCGAACAGGAUUAGAUACCCGAGUAGUC
rnacentral:rRNA from 1 species